rnacentral:rRNA from 1 species
AUUGAACGCUGGCGGCAUGCCUUACACAUGCAAGUCGAACGGCAGCACGGGUGCUUGCACCUGGUGGCGAGUGGCGAACGGGUGAGUAAUACAUCGGAACAUGUCCUGUAGUGGGGGAUAGCCCGGCGAAAGCCGGAUUAAUACCGCAUACGAUCUACGGAUGAAAGCGGGGGACCUUCGGGCCUCGCGCUAUAGGGUUGGCCGAUGGCUGAUUAGCUAGUUGGUGGGGUAAAGGCCUACCAAGGCGACGAUCAGUAGCUGGUCUGAGAGGACGACCAGCCACCCUGGGGCUGAGACACGGCCCAGACUCCUACGGGAGGCAGCAGUGGGGAAUUUUGGACAAUGGGCGAAAGCCUGAUCCAGCAAUGCCGCGUGUGUGAAGAAGGCCUUCGGGUUGUAAAGCACUUUUGUCCGGAAAGAAAUCCUUGGCCCUAAUACGGUCGGGGGAUGACGGUACCGGAAGAAUAAGCACCGGCUAACUACGU